UACGGAGGAUGCAAGCGUUAUCCGGAUUUAUUGGGUUUAAAGGGUGCGUAGGCGGAUUGAUAAGUCAGUGGUGAAAACCUGCAGCUUAACUGUAGACUUGCCGUUGAUACUGUCAGUCUUGAGUGUGGUCAAGGUAGGCGGAAUGUGUAAUGUAGCGGUGAAAUGCUUAGAUAUUACACAGAACACCGAUUGCGAAGGCAGCUUGCUGGACCAUUACUGACGCUGAUGCACGAAAGCGUGGGGAUCGAACAGG
rnacentral:rRNA from 1 species